GUGGGGAAUAGGCAAGGAGGAAUAGCUGACUUGUGGCAGCCAAGCGUUCAUAGUGACCUCGCUUUUUGAUCCUUCGAUGUUGGCUCUUCCUAUCAUACUUAAGCAGAAUUCAAUAAGCGUUGGAUUGUUCACCCACAAAUAUGGAACAAGACCUGGGGUUUAGACCGUCACGAGAUAAGCUAGUUUUACCCUAC
rnacentral:ncRNA from 1 species